UACGAAGGGGGCUAGCGUUGUUCGGAAUCACUGGGCGUAAAGCGCACGUAGGCGGAUCUUUAAGUCAGGGGUGAAAUCCCGAGGCUCAACCUCGGAACUGCCUUUGAUACUGGGGAUCUCGAGUCCGGGAGAGGUGAGUGGAACUGCGAGUGUAGAGGUGAAAUUCGUAGAUAUUCGCAAGAACACCAGUGGCGAAGGCGGCUCACUGGCCCGGUACUGACGCUGAGGUACGAAAGCGUGGGGAGCAAACAGG
rnacentral:rRNA from 1 species